CCUACGGGAGGCAGCAGUGGGGAAUAUUGCACAAUGGGGGGAACCCUGAUGCAGCAACGCCGCGUGGGUGAAGAAGUACUUCGGUAUGUAAAGUCCUGUCAGCAGGGAAGAAAAUGACGGUAGCUGACCAAGACGCCCCGGCUAACUACGUGCCAGCCGCCGCGGUAAUACGUAGGGGGCAAGCGUUAGCCGGAUUUACUGGGUGUAAAGGGAGCGUAGACGGAAAGGCAAGUCUGGAGUGAAAGCCCGUGGCUCAACCACGGGACUGCUUUGGAAACUGUGUUGCUGGAGUGCAGGAGGGGUAAGCGGAAUUCGUAGUGUAGCGGUGAAAUGCGUAGAUAUUAGGAGGAACACCGGUGGCGAAGGCGGCUUACUGAACUGUAACUGACGUUGAGGCUCGAAGGCGUGGGGAGCAAACAGGAUUAGAUACCCGGGUAGUC
rnacentral:rRNA from 1 species